rnacentral:rRNA from 1 species
GAUGAACGCUAGCUACAGGCUUAACACAUGCAAGUCGAGGGGAAACGGCAUUAAGUGCUUGCACUUUUUGGACGUCGACCGGCGCACGGGUGAGUAACGCGUAUCCAACCUUCCCAUGACUAAGGGAUAACCUGCCGAAAGGCAGACUAAUACCUUAUGGUCUUCACUGACGGCAUCAGAUGUGAAGUAAAGAUUUAUCGGUUAUGGAUGGGGAUGCGUCUGAUUAGUUAGUUGGCGGGGUAACGGCCCACCAAGGCAACGAUCAGUAGGGGUUCUGAGAGGAAGGUCCCCCACAUUGGAACUGAGACACGGUCCAAACUCCUACGGGAGGCAGCAGUGAGGAAUAUUGGUCAAUGGACGAGAGCCUGAACCAGCCAAGUAGCGUGCAGGAUGACGGCCCUAUGGGUUGUAAACUGCUUUU